rnacentral:rRNA from 1 species
GGACUACAGGGGUUUCUAAUCCUGUUUGCUCCCCACGCUUUCGUGUCUCAGCGUCAGUACUCGUCCAGUUGGCCGCCUUCGCCACCGGUGUUCCUCUCGAUAUCUACGAAUUUCACCUCUACACCGAGAAUUCCACCAACCUCUCCGGUACUCGAGCCGCGCAGUUUCGGGUGCCCUUCCUGGGUUGAGCCCAGGGAUUUCACAUCCGACUUGCGUGGCCGCCUACACACGCUUUACGCCCAGUAAUUCCGAACAACGUUUGCACCCUCUGUCUUACCGCGGCUGCUGGCAC